rnacentral:lncRNA from 10 species
CCAUAUCCAAUGUGUUAGGAAAUCCCACGGGCUCCAUCUUCAAAAUAUAUCCAGAUUUCAACCACUUCUCAUCAAUUCCACUGCUACUACCCUGGUCCAAGCUGCCAUCAUCUCUUGCCUGGAUUACAAGGAUAGUCUCCUUACAGGUCUUGCUGUGGCUGUCCUUGUUCAUCUUAGGUCUACGCAGCUAACUUACUCAAAGGGAUCCUGCUAAAAUGUCAGAUUAUAUCCUUCCUCUGCUCCGAAUCCUCCAAUGACCUGCCAUCUCAAUCAGUAAAUAAAUGCCAAAGUGCAUACUAGGACCUACGGAGCCUCCCUCACCUCUCUGUUCAUCUCCUACUUUUUUUGUGCUCCUACAGUGGCUUCCUCCGUGGUCCUUAAUCUGGAUAGGUGCAGUUG